GAUGAACGCUGGCGGCGUGCCUAAUACAUGCAAGUCGAGCGAACAGACGAGGAGCUUGCUCCUCUGACGUUAGCGGCGGACGGGUGAGUAACACGUGGAUAACCUACCUAUAAGACUGGGAUAACUUCGGGAAACCGGAUCUAAUACCGGAUAAUAUAUUGAACCGCAUGGUUCAAUAGUGAAAGACGGUUUUGCUGUCACUUAUAGAUGGAUCCGCGCCGCAUUAGCUAGUUGGUAAGGUAACGGCUUACCAAGGCAACGAUGCGUAGCCGACCUGAGAGGGUGAUCGGCCACACUGGAACUGAGACACGGUCCAGACUCCUACGGGAGGCAGCAGUAGGGAAUCUUCCGCAAUGGGCGAAAGCCUGACGGAGCAACGCCGCGUGAGUGAUGAAGGUCUUCGGAUCGUAAAACUCUGUUAUCAGGGAAGAACAAAUGUGUAAGUAACUAUGCACGUCUUGACGGUACCUAAUCAGAAAGCCACGGCUAACUACGUG
rnacentral:rRNA from 1 species